rnacentral:rRNA from 1 species
GACGAACGCUGGCGGCGUGCCUAAUACAUGCAAGUAGAACGCACAGUUUAUACCGUAGCUUGCUACACCAUAGACUGUGAGUUGCGAACGGGUGAGUAACGCGUAGGUGACCUGCCUGGUAGCGGGGGAUAACUAUUGGAAACGAUAGCUAAUACCGCAUAAUAUUAAUUAUUGCAUGAUAAUUAAUUGAAAGGUGCAAUUGCACCACUACCAGAUGGACCUGCGUUGUAUUAGCUAGUAGGUGAGGUAACGGCUCACCUAGGCGACGAUACAUAGCCGACCUGAGAGGGUGAUCGGCCACACUGGGACUGAGACACGGCCCAGACUCCUACGGGAGGCAGCAGUAGGGAAUCUUCGGCAAUGGACGAAAGUCUGACCGAGCAACGCCGCGUGAGUGAAGAAGGGUUUCGGAUCGUAAAGCUCUGUUGUAAGAGAAGAACGGGUGUGAGAGUGGAAAGUUCACACUGUGACGGUAUCUUACCAGAAAGGGACGGCUAACUACGUG